GGGCUUCAGGACCCAGAGGGACAGGGAUUUGAGAUACUUAACAGCUUUUGAAAUUUUGAAGUAUCUCUGCUGGGGUUGAAACAAAAUCAAACCACGAACAACUGUGCUGAGGCAGGAGAAUGGCAGUGUGUUGGGACAGAACCCUGACAGAUUUGCUUCUGUGGUUCUUAGGAAUCUAACAAGGGCCUCACACAAACCAAGCAAGUGGUCCCUAAGACACACACCCCCAUCUUGAGGGACAGGGGACAUUAAGAGAUGGGUAAGGGCUAGAGAGAAAGCCAGAAGAGUGAGUGUAGAACUCAGAGCAGAGGAGGACUUUGGAGUUUGUCAGCUCUCUGCUGUCAUCCUGUAGGAGAGGCCAGGGUGAGAACGCUUGCCUGAUCCCUUGGUGUGGUUGAAGGGCUCUAAGCGCCUCUUUACAUGUGAGCAUACAACAGGGAACAUGAUAAAGAACUGGGAAGGGAAGCUCAGAGGAGAAAGGCUCAAAGUCCAGAGACUCAUAGAGGGGUCCCAGGGUGGUACUUUAGAGGAGGAAGCGAUGUUGAAGCACCACGGGGCCAUACCAGUAACCAAGGUUACCUCUUCUGUGAGACACCGAGUCUCCUGUUGGCCACAGUAAAUCACCAGGUCUCCUGUGCAGCCCAGCUCCAGGCAGCAGCCUCACCCACUUGAGCAGCCAGCUCCAAUGAGAGGGACUCCUCCUGCUCAGUGGGAGACAAGAGGUGAGAGGUGCUCCCUUCUGGCUCAGCCACACUCCUGCUUUAAAGUGAACUUUCUUCUAACUCCAAAAGUCUUGUAUACCUAAUGCCCACUAUUCCGAGGCUCUGAAGAUUAACUCAUUUUAACUUCCCUGUUUGAAAGAAAUACCAAUAUCUCUGUUUUUCAGUUAAGGAAGCUAAGGUUUGGUUAAGUCAUUUUCUCUCUCUCUUUUUUUUUAAUAUUUUUUACAUAUUUGUAUAUGUGUGUCUGUCUGUCUGACAAUCUGUCUGUGGAGACUGGAAGAGAGCACUGGAUUCCUAGAGGUGGAGUCACAGGCAGUUGUGUACUGCCCGACUUGAGACCUGGGAACUGAACUCAGGCCCUCAGGAAGAGCAGCAGGUGUUCUAACCACUGAACCAUGUCUCCAACCUGCUGCCUUUCCCACUUUCCUCGGAAAUGAUGAUUUUGAGAUAGGAUCUGUGUAUCCCCAGACUGGCCUUGUAUUCAUAAUCCUCCUGACUUGGCCUCCUGAGAGCUAGGGUUGCAAGCAUAUGCCUCCAUGCCUGGUGGCUAUGCCAUUUUCUCAAGCCAUUUCUCAGUUGGCCACCCCAAGCGCUGGCCCUGGGUUUUCCAACUUAAGAGCCUGUGCUCCAACUAUCCUACGUGUUGCUUUGCGCUUGCUUUCCUCAUAGGGUCCUUUGGCUGAGUCUCUCCAGACUGAUGCAAAUCCUGCAGUUGAAUGAAGGAGGGAGGAGGGGCUUUUUUUUUUUUUUCCAGAUCCCAGACAUCAAAGUACUUUCCAGGACAUUUUCCUAGCUGAGUUUUCAAAACAACAACUCUGUAAGGGCCCAGGCGUAGGUCUAGUGCCUGAUUCCAGAGGCAGGCAGCUGAGAGUUGAAAGCUGUGCUUCAGGAGACGGGAGUAUGGAGCCUGCUGCUGCCUCCCAGGGCAUCAGACCUUACUGUCCUGCCUUGAGAUCUACCGAUGGAGCCCAGGGGUUUCUGGAACUGUCUGCCAGAGGAAGAGUGACUGUGGCCAGGUUCGGGCCAUAGUAUAAACCUGUCGCUACUUGAUUUAGCAGAUAGAUAGCUGUGGCAACUAAACAGACCCAACACAAUCUCGAUCUUGGAAUAGUCGAGGACUGGUCCCGUGUUAGCUAAAUGGGAGCCCUCAGCAGGGCAGGCAGCUUCUUCAAAGGGGUGGGACACUGGCAGCAAAACAAGAGAUUCUACCCUCCCAGGCUCGAGGAACUGACCUCAGGACAGCUGAAGCCAAAUCCUUUUGAUUUCAACAUGGUUCCUUGUAGUAGC
rnacentral:lncRNA from 1 species